rnacentral:lncRNA from 1 species
AUAAAUCCUAUUAUUCCUAUAUUAAUUAUCUAGUGUUUUUUUAGCAGGAGACGCGGAUAAGCAUUUUGUUGAAAAUUCAAGCAAAAUGAAAACCAGAAGCAGUAAUUUGUUUGACUGGUGUGACCGAGUAGAUUAAGAUUUAUAUAGAACUUAGUUGAUUAAUAUAGAACCUAGUUGCCAUUUCAGCUAAUAUAUUACUGAUGAAACUACUUACACCAUAUUAAUUUGUGUCUUAAAUAUAAUUAAGGUGUUGUUUGUUUGUUAGGUUAUCGGCUAGCUGAACCAAUACUUUAUCUUUGUGGCUGGCGAAUUGGCAUUUUCACCCAAAUAAACAUUUGGGAAACAAAUGAGAGGAAAAAGACAAGUUUACAUCAAUAUGAUGCCCGUGACUCUAUUAUUAUUAUUUAUACAAAUUCGUUAUCACUAAACUUCCUCGGAUCAGAGAUGGGCGGCCUUCAUGCAAUUCCACUCUCGAUUUGCAUCACUCUUCUUAUUGCUAUCAAUGGAGAAGCUGUCACUCCUAGAGAAACACUUGAGAUAAUCAUAGGUGGUGGUGGUGCCUCUCCAUUGCCACCAGCCCCCGAAUAUCAAGAUUGUCCCCCUCCUCCUCCACCUCCAUGUCCGCCACCACCAUCACCAAAACCGCCAUCACGGAAACCACCACCUCCUCCGUCACCAAGUCCAUCACCACCACCACCACGUCCACCAAAACCAUCACCACCAGGUGGUUUCUUCGAUGGUUUCGCCAACAUGCUACAACAAAGAGACUUUAAAGUAAUCCAAGCCUUCAAAAACAAAGUGACAAGAGAUCCCACAGGAAUGACGAAAACAUGGAAAGGCAAGAAAAUUUGCGAUUACCAAGGGUUCAUUUGCGACACAGUACCGGAUGUUAAACUAAGGGGCAUC